GGGGCAUUAGCUCAGUUGGCUAGAGUGCAACACUGGCAGUGUUGAAGUCAUCGGUUCGAAUCCGAUAUGCUCCACCA
rnacentral:tRNA from 2 species